AUACGUAGGUGGCGAGCGUUGUCCGGAAUUACUGGGUGUAAAGGGUGCGUAGGCGGGAAAGCAAGUCAGAUGUGAAAGCCCAUGGCUCAACUGUGGAAAUGCAUCUGAAACUGUUUUUCUUGAGUGUCGGAGAGGAAAGCGGAAUUCCUAGUGUAGCGGUGGAAUGCGUAGAUAUUAGGAAGAACACCGGUGGCGAAGGCGGCUUUCUGGACGAUAACUGACGCUGAGGCACGAAAGUGUGGGGAGCGAACAGGAUUAGAUACCCUGGUAGUCCACACUGUAAACGAUGGAUACUAGGUGUAGGGGGUAUCAACUCCCUCUGUGCCGGCGUUAACACAAUAAGUAUCCCACCUGGGGAGUACGGUCGCAAGGCUGAA
rnacentral:rRNA from 1 species